GACAUGGCUCAGGACGAACGCUGGCGGCGCGCCUAACACAUGCAAGUCGAACGAGCGAGAGAGAGCUUGCUUUCUCGAGCGAGUGGCGAACGGGUGAGUAACGCGUGAGGAACCUGCCUCAAAGAGGGGGACAACAGUUGGAAACGACUGCUAAUACCGCAUAAGCCCACGACCCGGCAUCGGGAAGAGGGAAAAGGAGCAAUCCGCUUUGAGAUGGCCUCGCGUCCGAUUAGCUGGUUGG
rnacentral:rRNA from 1 species